AAAUGACCGAAAUAACUUAAAUAUAACAUGGUUCUGGUUCAUGCACAUUUCAAUUUCUUCAUAGUAUUGAUAAAAUGAGGCACUCAAUUAGGAAUUGACAACCACUCGCAAUCUAUGUUAUGCUUAACAAGAAUCAGCCAAUCCUCAACACAAGGAACUGAAAUACUACCCAGUCAGACAAUGGUCUAAAAGCACCCCUUUUUUUCCCAGCAUCAAUUAACUACAAAACAAAUAAGAAAAGGUAAUCUUUUAUUUUGCGCUUGUUAUAUUUACGUGUGAAAUUAACAGGACAAAAAGAAAGUAAAUAAGCCGAACAUUGACUUUUAAAUAAUUUAGCUGACAACCAAGAAUUAUUCAAAGGCAAGCAAAUUUCUAUUCUCUCCAAGCCAUAAGUAAGCCGCUUAGAUUAGUGAUUCCAUAUGUGUUGCCAACAAACAAUUCAAAUUGUAAACAAAUGACAUCUUUUGAAAAUAUAUGAGAACAAUAUCUUAGCAGUAAAUUGUUCUUAGGAAACACAAGCAAAAGGUUGAUCUCUCCUAAUGGAAGCUGAAACACAGAAUGUGUAACUAUUGUAAAUUAUUGACAAAUUUAUUAAUAUAUCUAUUAGUCAUAUUAUUCACCCUUUUUUUAUUUGGCUGUAUAAUGGCAAACUUGAUCAAACAUUCAG
rnacentral:lncRNA from 1 species